AAGGCCUGAUGUGUGUGAGAUUACCCGCUGAAUUUAAGCAUAUAAGUAAGCGGAGGAAAAGAAACUAACUAGGAUUCCCUUAGUAAUGGCGAAUGAACAGGGAUCAGCUCAGUGCCAAAUCGGAAUCACUUGUGGUUCUGAAAUGUGGCUUGAAGGCAGUACCAGUGGCAUCGCGGACGAAAGUCUCUUGGAAAAGAGCGUCAUAGAGGGUGAGAAUCCCGUGAGUCGUUCGCCGUUUGUCACGUACGGUCUGCGUUCUAACGAGUCGCGUUCCUUGGGAUUGGAGCGUAAACGGGUGGUAAAUUCAUCCAAAGCAAA
rnacentral:ncRNA from 1 species